GAUGAACGCUGGCGGCGUGCCUAAUACAUGCAAGUCGAGCGAACAGACGAGGAGCUUGCUCCUCUUACGUUAGCGGCGGACGGGUGAGUAACACGUGGAUAACCUACCUAUAAGACUGGGAUAACUUCGGGAAACCGGAGCUAAUACCGGAUAAUAUAUUGAACCGCAUGGUUCAAUAGUGAAAGACGGUUUUGCUGUCACUUAUAGAUGGAUCCGCGCCGCAUUAGCUAGUUGGUAAGGUAACGGCUUACAAAGGCAACGAUGCGUAGCCGACCUGAGAGGGUGAUCGGCCACACUGGAACUGAGACACGGUCCAGACUCCUACGGGAGGCAGCAGUAGGGAAUCUUCCGCAAUGGGCGAAAGCCUGACGGAGCAACGCCGCGUGAGUGACGAAGGUCUUCGGAUCGUAAAACUCUGUUAUUAGGGAAGAACAAAUGUGUAAGUAACUAUGCACGUCUUGACGGUACCUAAUCAGAAAGCCACGGCUAACUACGUG
rnacentral:rRNA from 1 species